GAUGAACGCUGGCGGCGUGCCUAAUACAUGCAAGUCGAGCGAACAGAUGAGGAGCUUGCUCCUCUGACGUUAGCGGCGGACGGGUGAGUAACACGUGGAUAACCUACCUAUAAGACUGGGAUAACUUCGGGAAACCGGAGCUAAUACCGGAUAAUAUAUUGAACCGCAUGGUUCAAUAGUGAAAGACGGUUUAGCUGUCACUUAUAGAUGGAUCCGCGCCGCAUUAGCUAGUUGGUAAGGUAACGGCUUACCAAGGCGACGAUGCGUAGCCGACCUGAGAGGGUGAUCGGCCACACUGGAACUGAGACACGGUCCAGACUCCUACGGGAGGCAGCAGUAGGGAAUCUUCCGCAAUGGGCGAAAGCCUGACGGAGCAACGCCGCGCGAGUGAUGAAGGUCUUCGGAUCGUAAAACUCUGUUAUUAGGGAAGAACAAAUGUGUAAGUAACUAUGCACGUCUUGACGGUACCUAAUCAGAAAGCCACGGCUAACUACGUG
rnacentral:rRNA from 1 species